GCAUCACAACAUUGCAUUUGCAUAGCCUCAAGGAUCAUAAGAAUCUUGGUUCCCUUUGCCUUUGGGUGGUAUCCCUUGUGAGUGGUUUGAGAUCACCAAGCAUGCUUGAAUUGUAUAUUAUUGCUUUUCUCAUUUUUUUAACUCAAAAGCACAAAAAUAUGUCACUAACAUUUCUUGUUUGUAGCUUGAGCAAUCACAAGAUCCAAAGCUUCUAGGAGAUCCUUUGUGCAAUGAUAUGGUCAAAAGAAGAAGAAAGCAAGCAUGGUAAUGGUUCC
rnacentral:lncRNA from 1 species